AUUGAACGCUGGCGGCAGGCUUAACACAUGCAAGUCGAGCGGGGGAGGUUGCUUCGGUAACUGACCUAGCGGCGGACGGGUGAGUAAUGCUUAGGAAUCUGCCUAUUAGUGGGGGACAACAUCUCGAAAGGGAUGCUAAUACCGCAUACGUCCUACGGGAGAAAGCAGGGGACCUUCGGGCCUUGCGCUAAUAGAUGAGCCUAAGUCGGAUUAGCUAGUUGGUGGGGUAAAGGCCUACCAAGGCGACGAUCUGUAGCGGGUCUGAGAGGAUGGGCCGCCACACUGGGACGGGGACACGGCACAGACUCCUACGGGAGGCAGCAGUGGGGAAUAUUGGACAAUGGGGGGAACCCUGAUCCAGCCAUGCCGCGUGUGUGAAGAAGGCCUUUUGGUUGUAAAGCACUUUAAGCGAGGAGGAGGCUACUGGUAUUAAUACUACCGGAUAGUGGACGUUACUCGCAGAAUAAGCACCGGCUAACUCUGUGCCAGCCGCCGCAGUAAAAC
rnacentral:rRNA from 1 species